rnacentral:rRNA from 1 species
GAUGAACGCUAGCUACAGGCUUAACACAUGCAAGUCGAGGGGUAACGAGAGGAAAGCUUGCUUUCCUUGUCGACGACCGGCGCACGGGUGAGUAACGCGUAUCCAACCUGCCCCCAACUAGGGAAUAACCUUGCGAAAGUAAGACUAAUACCCUAUAAUUUCCUCAGAUGACAUCUGACGACGAAUAAAGAUUUAUCGGUUGCGGAUGGGGAUGCGUCUGAUUAGCUUGUUGGCGGGGUAACGGCCCACCAAGGCAACGAUCAGUAGGGGUUCUGAGAGGAAGGUCCCCCACAUUGGAACUGAGACACGGUCCAAACUCCUACGGGAGGCAGCAGUGAGGAAUAUUGGUCAAUGGGCGGAAGCCUGAACCAGCCAAGUAGCGUGCAGGAUGACGGCCCUAUGGGUUGUAAACUGCUUUUAUACAGGAAUAAAGUUAGCCACGUGUGGUUAUUUGUAGGUACUGUAUGAAUAAGGACCGGCUAAUUCCGUGCCAGCAGCCGCCGUAA